CCCAGCCCGGCAGCGAGGCGCGGCUGUGAGCCCUCCUCAGACAGCAGUGGGGACGUGCAGUCUGGCCUUGCAGCACCUGACGCAGCCAUUCCUGGAGCAUGAGCCGCGGGCCCUGGCUGAAGCUGAGGCCUGCCAGACCCAGAGAGUGCGAAGCCCCCGGUGACCAGACUAAAAGUUUUAGCAACAGGAUGCUGUCUUCCUGUGAGGACGCUUGAGAAAGAGAGCAAAGAAGUAAAUCAUCCACAUAUGGCAACAAAGUAGAACCUCUAGGAACCUUCAGGUCAUUCAGAUCGACCUUCAGGAUUUUGAAGAAAUAAGGACUCACAGUACAACACUGAGGAAUUACUGUUCAGGUGAAU
rnacentral:lncRNA from 1 species